AACGCACAUUGCGCCCCUUGGCAUUCCGAGGGGCAUGCCUUUUCGAGCGUCGAUAGAGGAAAUCAAGCCACGCUUGGUUAUUGAGUGCCCAAAUUACACGGGUGCUUUAAAUUAGAGAUGAGGCGGGGCUUAGCGCAGGCACGGCCAGGUGUAGUACAUCGUGAACGAACGCCCGGUGAGCUGCCUUGCGUGCUCGAGGCCUUCUCGGCCCAAUAACCGCAUGUCAAGUUGAACCUCGGAUAAGGUAGGGAUACCCGCUGAACUUAA
rnacentral:misc_RNA from 1 species